rnacentral:rRNA from 1 species
AGUGAACGCUGGCGGUAGGCCUAACACAUGCAAGUCGAACGGCAGCACAGUAAGAGCUUGCUCUUACGGGUGGCGAGUGGCGGACGGGUGAGGAAUACAUCGGAAUCUACUUUUUCGUGGGGGAUAACGUAGGGAAACUUACGCUAAUACCGCAUACGACCUACGGGUGAAAGCAGGGGAUCUUCGGACCUUGCGCGAUUGAAUGAGCCGAUGUCGGAUUAGCUAGUUGGCGGGGUAAAGGCCCACCAAGGCGACGAUCCGUAGCUGGUCUGAGAGGAUGAUCAGCCCCCCUGGAACUGAGACACGGUCCAGACUCCUACGGGAGGCAGCAGUGGGGAAUAUUGGACAAUGGGCGCAAGCCUGAUCCAGCCAUACCGCGUGGGUGAAGAAGGCCUUCGGGUUGUAAAGCCCUUUUGUUGGGAAAGAAAAGCAGCAGGUUAAUACCCCGCCGUUCUGACGGUACCCAAAGAAUAAGCACCGGCUAACUUCGUG